GAUGGUUGAGUGACUUGCUCAAGCUCAUAUAGCCACUGUUGGAGACAAGAUUCCAUUCUAGCCCUUCUUUCCAAUCACUUGGAUCUGGAUCACCUUUCAAAUUCUAAACUGAAAUUUCUGAACAAAAAAAAAGCAAUGCUGUACAUUUGAUGACUUCUCCUUGGUCAGCUGCUAAUUUUGUACUCUCAAGGCUUAGCACAGUGCCUGGCACACAUUCCAAACUUGACCCCUGAAAGGAGAGGAAAAAGCCAGUCUCUUCACACCAUUUAUAAUUAUUUAAUUUCAAGACAAUUUCAAGACCCCAUCCCACCAAAGGCAUGGAUUUACCUUGUAACCCUGAUUGAUGCCAUUGAUGAACUGCUGAGGAGGAGGGUUCCACAGGAACUGGAUAGUGGUGGAGUUCAGAGCUUCUGUUUGCACAUUCUGUGGGGGAGCUGUGGGGACUGUUACAAGGCAGCCAUUGCAGACAGCAAAACAAAUGGUGAAAAAGAAAAUAAGAAAGAGAGAUGAAAUAAAAACUCUGGACUACCAUUCAUGAAAGUCACAGCAUGGAGAAAAGAGAACCAUGAUUUAUGCUUCUGGAAGCUUACAGUGGCAUUCAAGAGAAAGGUGAAAAAUAACCCCCCAGAAGGGUUAUCUAGAAUUGUGUGACUCUCUAGAAAUGAAACUGACAAAUACUCUAUACAGAUUCAAGACAUGUGGACAUACCAUCCUUUGGAUGGUGGCUAUAUUUACCUAACUUCUUGAUGCUGCUGGCUUUGCCUUAGGGGUUACAAUGUGUUCUGAAGUUCCUUACAUUUCUAUUGUUUAGAACUUAUUUUCUUACCAGUAAAUUUAUGCCUUGAUUUUAUCUGAAGGCUAUACAACUGCUUUGUUCUGAAGGCCAUACAACUGCUUUGUUUAGAAGACCAAAGGAAAAACUUUCCCAGUGUCAAUUUUUAACUUUCAAGGGACUUUCUAAUAUACAUUUAAACAGGUAUUUUCCAAAAGAAAAAAAGUUAACAGCUAAAAAAUACAUGGUCUUUUCUUUACCAUAAAAUUCUGCAAAAUUAAUCACUUGCAAAUCUGAUCAUCAUUCUUUUAAUGAUAUAAAUAGGCAAAAAAGAGACAGCAAAACACAAUGGGAAGCAAAAUUCAGAGAUUUGGGUUCCAGUCCCAGCUCUAUCAACUGGCUAGCUUUGUGAUUGUAGGUAAUUCAUUUCCCCCCUCAUUUUAAGGACCUUUAAUUUUUGUCUUUGUAUCUCCACCAAUCAGUAAAAAUAGCAAGUACUUAAUAAAUGUUUGUUAAUUAACUGACUGAUUAAAGUUAAGUUACUCUUUGCUUUAAAAAGUAAAUCUUCAGACAUGAAUUCCAACCCAUUCCCACAUAGUAGCACCUUCUAAAAAUUAAAAUAAACUGAUGUGAUCUUUAAGAGCCCAGGAUCACCUCGAAAUUGUAUUGAUAUCUGAAUAGAAUUAUAAUGAAAGAGUAGAUAUAAGUUAGAUUGAUAAUAGGUUGUUGUUGUUGAUAAUAGGUUGUUAUUUUCAGUUAAGUCUGAAUUUUAUGUCCCCAUUUGGGGUUUUCUUACCAAGAGUGAUUUACCAUUUUUUUCCCCAUCUCAUAGAUGAGGA